rnacentral:misc_RNA from 1 species
UUUCCGUAGGUGAACCUGCGGAAGGAUCAUUAUCGAAAUACUUAUUUAGCGUUCCGUGCUAUCCCAUUGUUUUAUUUACCCUGUUGCUUCCACUGGAUGAGUUUCCAUACCUUGUGUUUGAGAAACUUUGGCUUGUGUAAGAUUCAUUCACGGCCAGCCAGUGAGAAGACCAUUUACAAAACCCUGUUAAGAACCAAUUGUCUGAAUAUUUUACUCCAAUGAAAUAAAACUUUCAACAACGGAUCUCUAGGCUCUUGCAUCGAUGAGAACGCAGC